ACAGACAUCCACUUGAAUAUAGGAUCUGCCUGUCCACCAGGAUAAACCUUGUGAUUCUGAGCGGGCGACCACCAUACCCUCUCACAUACACAUGUACAACCACUGCCGAUCAUGGGGAUCAAGCUCGGGUCGCAGCAGUGAGAAGCUUAAGAAAAUCAGGGUCGGGGAUCAAAAAUAGGUUUAAGAACUUGAUACUGUGUAGAAUCCACAAUGCAGAACUAAAUCUGUAAACCAGGAACGCGGACCUCGCUCCGCACUGGAUGGUUCCGCUCCAGUGCCCCUCCAGCAGACAUGGCUCGCCGACUCAUUUCCAACUUCAGGUCCAAUUUGUCUUUUAGAACUGAGGACAUGGGUCUUGGUGUUGUGUUC